AUUGAACGCUGGCGGCAUGCCUUACACAUGCAAGUCGAACGGCAGCACGGGAGCAAUCCUGGUGGCGAGUGGCGAACGGGUGAGUAAUAUAUCGGAACGUGCCCAGUCGUGGGGAUAACGUAGUGAAAGCUACGCUAAUACCGCAUACGAUCUAUGGAUGAAAGCGGGGGAUCGCAAGACCUCGCGCGAUUGGAGCGGCCGAUAUCAGAUUAGGUAGUUGGUGAGGUAAAGGCUCACCAAGCCGACGAUCUGUAGCUGGUCUGAGAGGACGACCAGCCACACUGGGACUGAGACACGGCCCAGACUCCUACGGGAGGCAGCAGUGGGGAAUUUUGGACAAUGGGCGCAAGCCUGAUCCAGCAAUGCCGCGUGCAGGAUGAAGGCCUUCGGUUGUAACUGCUUUGUACGGUAACGAAUACGGUGAGCUCUAAUACAG
rnacentral:rRNA from 1 species